UACAGAGGGUGCAAGCGUUGUUCGGAAUUAUUGGGCGUAAAGGGCGCGUAGGCGGUGCUGUAAGUCUGUAGUGAAAUCUCUGGGCUCAACUCAGAGUCUGCUAUAGAAACUGCAGUGCUGGAGUGUGGGAGAGGUGAGUGGAAUUCCCGGUGUAGCGGUGAAAUGCGCAGAUAUCAGGAGGAACACCAAUGGCGAAGGCAGCUCACUGGGACGAUACUGACGCUGAGACGCGAAAGCGUGGGGAGCAAACAGG
rnacentral:rRNA from 1 species